rnacentral:rRNA from 1 species
AUUGAACGCUGGCGGCAUGCCUUACACAUGCAAGUCGAACGGUAACAGGUCUUCGGAUGCUGACGAGUGGCGAACGGGUGAGUAAUGCAUCGGAACGUGCCCAGUAGUGGGGGAUAGCCCGGCGAAAGCCGGAUUAAUACCGCAUACGACCUGAGGGUGAAAGGGGGGGAUCGCAAGACCUCUCGCUAUUGGAGCGGCCGAUGUCAGAUUAGCUAGUUGGUGGGGUAAAGGCCUACCAAGGCAACGAUCUGUAGUUGGUCUGAGAGGACGACCAGCAACACUGGGACUGAGACACGGACCAGACUCCUACGGGAGGCAGCAGUGGGGAAUUUUGGACAAUGGGCGCAAGCCUGAUCCAGCAAUGCCGCGUGCAGGAAGAAGGCCUUCGGGUUGUAAGCUGCUUUUGUCAGGGAAGAAAUCUUCUGGGUUAAUACCUCGGGAGGAUGACGGUACCUGAAGAAUAAGCACCGGCUAACUACGUGCCAGCCGCCGCUGUAAUAC